GGGGAAAUGGCGCAGUGGUAGCGCGUCGAGUUUGCAUAACCGUUUCAAGCGUCAUUGUAACAUCUCGAAGGACCGGGGUUCAAUCCCCCGUUUCUCCA